rnacentral:rRNA from 1 species
AUUGAACGCUGGCGGCAUGCCUAACACAUGCAAGUCGAACGAGUGGCGCACGGGUGAGUAACGUCUGUGACACUGCCUUAUGGAGGGGGAAAACUACUGGAACCGGUAGCUAAUACCGCAUACCAUCGGAUGAGCCAAGGUCGGAUUAGCUAGUUGGUGGGGUAAAGGCCUACCAAGGCCACGAUCCCUAGCUGGUCUGAGAGGAUGACCGGCCACACUGGAACUGAGACACGGUCCAGACUCCUACGGGAGGCAGCAGUGGGGAAUAUUGCACAAUGGGCGCAAGUCUGAUGCAGCCAUGCCGCGUGAAUGAAGAAGGUCUUCGGGUUGUAAAGUUCUUUUGGCGGGGAGGCGUUACCCACACAGGAAGCACCGGCUAACUCCGUGCCAGCAGCCGCGGUAAUAC